AGAUACGAAUACUUCUCUGUGUCCAUGUAUAUAUUUAUAGAAAAUAUAGUUCCUCACAAUUAUAUAAGCUAGCCAUGUGGCCAGUACACUUAUGAGGGCAAACAUCUUACUAAUAUAAGUGGUCUGCACACUUAUGUGGGCAACAACUUAGUAAUAAGUGUCCCGCACACUUAUACAUGUAUAUGGAACUAACUUAUGCACAAAACACAAGAGCUUUUGAGCAACCAGAACACAUCAUAUGAAGUUGUAAUAUUCUUAUUUUGAUACUAAUUUUGAUUUACACGAGAAACACAUUAGCUAACACCAAUUCUGGUGCACUUAAGAGUAUCCCAAAGAAUGAGAAUUCUUGGCUAUAAAACAAGUCCUUGAGUCCCUACCUUCUCCUCCAACCAAACAGAAACUAGCUAUAGCCAGCCUUCUUGCUGCUUCCGUCUCCUCACAUCCUCCAGAUCUCUUUCCACGACUCAAAUACCUUCUCGUGGGAUCAAGUUAUUAGCCAUUUGCUUUAGUUCCGCUGGAGUAGGAAGACCGCUACUGUCGCCAGCAACGUCCACCGCGUCCAGCACUUCGAAGAAGAAACUUCCAUUGCAGGGCUCGCUAUCCAAGGUCAUGGGCGGAGCUCCAGCAGCUUUUGGCUGUUGCACUUCCACCACUGGGAGAGCUUCAUGCACAGGAGGUCGCUCUACCAUCACUGGGGGAGCAACCUUUAGCAAAGGAACAACUUCCUGUGGCUUCUUAUAAAAGAGCCCCUUCGACGCUUCGCUAGUCCUCUUCCCUUGAGUUUCUUCAAAUUGAGAGUAAAUUAUACAUUACCCCUUCGGAGAGUUUAUAUAGGUUAGGGGUACAUGACAAAAAACCAUGACGACCAUUGGUGGAGAGAGAAAGUGGGGGCAAAAUGGUAAAUCAUUAGUCUACCGACAUGAGGCGCUGCAUCCAUGACCUCAUCCUCCGCUGCAAGAGCUUGAACCUCCAGGGGGCCUGACGCUGACACCACAAGUUCUCUGCGAGCGCAGGUACCUCAUGAAUCUACAGGCUAUCACCGACGUCCAGUGUAAGUUGCAGAGCAUGCUCAGGGCUGUGAACGACCACCUCAAGGAGAAACGCUCGGGAGCACGUCGGCGCCGCCGCAGCAGCAAGCUGUUCCUAUUGUGGAAGUGCAACAGCCACACGCUGUUGAAGCUCCGCCCAUGACCUUGGAUGGCGAGCCCCGCCAUGGAAGCUUCCUCUUUGAUGUCCCCCAAACAGCCUCCAGUGGCAGUGAUUAGGGUGGCCAGUCAGAACCGUCACUGGAGGGGGUACACCAUUGGUGUAUUCUCGCAUAGUCAUGGAGGGGCUCCUCAAGGCUGUGGCCGAACGCAUCAAGGAGAAACGUUCUGCACCUCCUCCUGUUGUUGCUACAGAAGCUGAUGUCCCUGAGGAGGUGUUCCCUCUCGUUGUUUGAGAGGUUUUUCCACGUUAAAUCCGUGUGUACUUGUGAUGUGAUUUCUUCUUCGUUCUUCGUUCUUGCUUGUCGCGUUCAUAACAAGGGGCACAUUAUAUAGCCAAUUAUUUGGAAAAGACAUAAUGGCUUGACAAUUAUAUAUAUGCAUUAUUUAUGUCAUUUCCAAAUAUAUUAUA